AGGCAAUUAGUGAAGCCCACAGCUAUGAAGCUCAUCACCGCAGUACUGGUCCUGGCGUUGGUGCUGGUCAGCAGCCCCGUAGAGGCUGGGAAGCGGGGAAGCUGCCCGAAGCUGGUGAUCGUCAUCCGUCCUUUAAGCAGAGGAAAACCGCAGUGCUACAACGACUACAACUGUCCCCGUUCCCAGAAGUGCUGCAAAGGCGUAUGCCGCUUGCCCUGCCUGCCCGCUUGCAGAUACGGUCAGACGUGCACCAUCAUCAACUACAAGCUCUACAAAUAUGCUCCCGCCAAGUGGAUUCUCCGAUGCCUCUAAAGACGCCGCCUGAGGACAAGCCGCCAGACAGUGACCGUCGUGAUCUGACCUGAUCUGACCUGACCUGACGUCAGUGACCUGACCGUCAUCGUCGGCACCAAAGCGCUAACAUUCGCAAGUUUGUCGUACGGUGGGAGCAGGGUCUGAUUAGUUGCCGUAUGUUGGGUUAUCUUGGUGUAACGGCACUGAUCGCAUGAUUUCCUUUGGACUUGAAACCUGGGUAAAGGUGAACAAUGGUUCCACCCGUUCGUGUGCUUGUUUUUUUUGCAGGUGCAAGAAGUUGGACAUAAAUAUAUAAAACUGGAUACA